rnacentral:lncRNA from 1 species
CUCGGCACGGGCUGUAACCUCCAUUCCGAGCACGCAGCUCCUGGCAGCGCCGCUCAUACCAAAGCCUUGACUCAGGCUUAUCUGCAUGCUGGGUAAUGAGCAGCGUCACCAGAGGAAUGUGCAGAGAAAGCAGCCAUGCUGCUGCAAGCCUCCGCUCGCUCCUCGGCCGAACUGCCGAUUUAGCAGCCUGCCUCUGUGUGACCGGUUGGAGGUGGGGGCCUCAGUCUGGGGGGAGGCCCUGAGUCUGCUUUGAAGCCAAAACAGGGUUUUGCCCUUCCGUGAGUAAGCGCUUUGUAUGCAAGGCCGGACAGGACUUUGCUAACCUUAAUUGAGGACUGCGCCAAGUAAAGGGCGAAGUCACUCCUCCAGUCGCUGGGGGAGUUUAUCCAUGUUCCAGAUGGGCAGGCUGCAGCGCUCAGCCAACUCAUGCAGCAGACGCCUAUCUGAGGAAGGGAGAGAGUGCCUGACUGCCGCUCUCCCUUCUACUGGAUUAAAAGCAAGUUGUAAUAAUGACUGCAUACGGCUGAACACAAAAGCACUUGCACCACACAGGCGUUUGGGAACAACAUCUUCCAGAGCCAGGCUACUGUCUGUAGCCUGUGUCCUUUGCUCUGAUAGCUCUGAGGCCGUGGGCUGUUGCCGUUCUUGCUGAUGCAAUGCAGCGAGGGCUGGGGUGAAGGAGAGUGCAUACCUGUGUGUCAGAGGUAGGAGCUCCCCUUUGGCGAUGAUGGAAAGCACAGCAAAUUCAAAUCAAAGAUGAGAGGGGGUUGCUUUGAAUUGCUGUAUUCCAGAUGUAUCUGAGGCAAUCUCCCUCUUCACUGCACGUAUCGUGGUAGCAAGAGCAAAGAUCACAGCGUAGCCCAGGUUUUCAUUUGAACAUGUCCAGGCUGGCACACAGUUGAGAUAAUUGCUCCACGAAGAACUCAGACUGCACUGAUAAGAAAGGCCAGUUGGUGCAUCUAUUUUAUCCCACCUCCUUCAGCGAAAGAUUAUUUCGAGUAUCUUAUCAGAAAGAAGCAGCCUUUCAAAAGCUGUACCUUGAGGAGUGCCCAGAGUGGAGAUCCAUUCCAGCUCCAGCAGCAGACCCUGUGGAUGUCCCUCCACCUCAUCUCUGGGAACAGAGUUAGUGAUGUUCCCUGGCUGUUUGGUUGCUAUAAAUGAGGACAUUCUCCCCGAAUGCAAGUCAGCCCAGAUGCAGUGCCUGCAUGUCUGGAGUCAGUCUCAGCAUGGUCAGAACAAGAACCAAACAGCUCCAUGAUUUGUGCUGCACACAGAGGCCUCUCUCACUGGGGAGCUGCUCUUCACUGCGAUUCUCACCCUCUGCACCGGCAGCAGUAGUGUCCAGACAUGCAGACAAACAUUUGAGGGUGACUUUUUUAGCUCCAUCAGUGCAGGGCUAAGCCUGC